AGCAUUUCCAAAUGGGGUUUUCCACAUCAGGUCUUUAUACAGUAGUAAAAGUCAAGUACCUUGCAUCCAAAGAACUCAAACCACUUUGCAAAUACUAAGUCUCACUGCACUUCUCCCUGGAGUCAUCUCUGAUUUUUUUUCUUUUGAUGAAGAAUCUAAAAGGUGAAUCUAAAAGGUGUCACUCAUUAGUGCUAUUGCUGUGCUGUGAAGUUAGGAACUG
rnacentral:lncRNA from 1 species